CUUCUCGUGGUGUAGUGGUAACGCGCCUGUCUAGUGAGUAGGAGUCGUGAGCUCGAGUCUCACCAAGAGGA
rfam:Aedes albopictus isolate Foshan contig111476, whole genome shotgun sequence.